rnacentral:lncRNA from 10 species
CAGCCACCCAGGGCUCAGAGGAUGGUGAAGGUGAAUCCACGGUACGCCUAGGAUAUACACAGAGGAGAAGAGUGAGGUGGACAUUGGGCAGCCAGUGUGCAGCUAUUUUCACCGACCGGCUCCACCGCCUUGGCAGGGCCAAGCAUCGAAGCAGAGGCUCGCUGCAGCCAGACACUGGGCUGCUCCACUGGCGACCCAAGCCACAAAGCCUCAGUUCUGGAAGGGGAUGGUCCACUAAUUCGUGCUCAGCUUUAAAAUGGGAGGACAACUCAGCAAUUUGUUGGAGGGCUAAACAAGUUAACACAGGUAAAAUGCAAGCAUCCAUAGAAAGCAUAUACAGUGAAUAUGGACCGGAUGGGAAUAAAAGGGAGCUGUCUGGAGUGCUGGAAACAUUCCGUAUCUUCAUCAAGUGGUAGUUAUGUGGUGGAUAAGGAACUACUGUGGACAAGAACCAGCUUUAAAUUGUUAGUGCCUCUUAACCGAGGAGGUGAAAGACUUGUAUCCUGAAAACUACAAAAUGUUGCUGAAAGAAACUAAAGAAGACAUCAAUAAAUGGAAAGACAUACUGUGUUCAUGGAUUGGAAGACAAUAUUGUUUAGAUGUUAAUACUACCCAAAGAGAUCAACAGAUUCAUUGUAAGCUCUAACAAAAUCCCAACAACAUUUUUCGCAGAAGUAGAAAAAUUCAUCCUAGAAUUUAUAUGGACUCUUAAGGGACUCUGAAUAGCCAUUACAAUAUUGAAAAAGAACAAAACAGGAGGGCUCAGCCAGGUGCAGUGGCUCACACCUGUAAUCCCAUCACUUUGGGAGGCCAAGGCAGGUGGAUCACUUGUGGUCAGGAGUUCAAGACCAGCCUGGCCAACAUGGUGAAACCCCAUCUCUACUAAAAAUACAAAAAUUAGCCAGGCAUGGUGGGGGGUGUCUGUAAUCGCAGCUACUCGGGAGGCUGAGACAGGAGAUCACUUGAAUCUGGGAGGUGGAUGUUGCAGUGAGCCAAGAUUUUGGCACUGCGCUCCAGCCUGGGUGACAGAGCAAGGCUCUGUCUCAAAAAAAAAAAAAAGGAAAAAAACACCUGUGGUAAACUAAAGCAUUGAACUGUAGAAAAUACUGCAGAGGCCUCAAAAAUAGUCAAACUCUGUAAAAUAUUUGAAGAAAUUUAUUCUGGGCCAAAUAUGAGUGACCAUGGUCCAUGACAUAGCCAUCAGGAGAUCCUGAGAACUUAUGCCCAAGGUGGUCAGGGUGAAGCUUGGUUUUAUAUAUUUUAGGGAGACAUGAGACAUCAGUCAAAUAUAUUUAAGAUAUAUAUUGGUCCAGUCUGGAAAGCUGGUGCAGGAUAUAAUAAAUUCCUCCUCAAAGGUUUUAGCCUGUUAACUUCCUUUAAAAUUCAAGAGGGAGAAAAUUGUUAAGUACAAUGAGUUCUGAGAUCCUCUCCAAAAAACCAAUGUAUCAGUAUGUUCAGCUCCCCUGUUCUUUGUUCUCUAUUUUAAAGUUUAACUUCCUCAUUCUUUAUGUCUCCUUGCCCCUAGUUUCAGUAAACAAUCCCCUCCUAUCCUCUAUCACCUGCUCUGUCCCUAGUCAUCCUUAGUCACCUGCUCUGUAACCAUCCUUCCCGCUGAAAACACUCACCCCACCACUCUGGCUCUUACCCCCACUCUCUUUAAAAUAGCCAAUUGGAAUUAGCUUAGACUGUAUGGUCCAACCCUAGCCAAUAGGGGAAAGGCACAGCAGUAGGGACUAGCUGCAUUAGGAAUAAGACCCCCUUCCCCUCCCUUGUCCAGUGUGCUCUUGCCUUUGCUCCAUCUGCGAGACGCACCUUUCUAUAGAAGUAAA